UGUUUUGUGGCUUAGUUUGUUAAAACGGCGGACUUGCGGCACAAAGUCGUGGGUUCGAAUCCCACCACAGCAA
rnacentral:tRNA from 1 species